rnacentral:Y_RNA from 1 species
GGCUGUCCAAAGGGAGUGAAUUUCCUCAACUGACUGCUCACAGUCAGUUCCAAAUUACAUUUUUUUUUUGUUGUUCAGCACCCCACCCCCUUCUCACUACUGCACUUGACCAGCCUCCA